rnacentral:rRNA from 1 species
GAGCGAAAGCAUGGGGAGCGAACAGGAUUAGAUACCUGGUAGUCCAUGCCGUAAACGUUGGGCACUAGGUGUGGGGGACAUUCCACGUUUUUCCGCGCCGUAGCUAACGCAUUAAGUGCCCCGCCUGGGGAGUACGGCCGCAAGGCUAAAACUCAAAGGAAUUGACGGGGGCCCGCACAAGCGGCGGAGCAUGCGGAUUAAUUCGAUGCAACGCGAAGAACCUUACCAAGGCUUGACAUAAACCGGAAACGCCUGGAAACAGGUGCCCCACUUGUGGUCGGUUUACAGGUGGUGCAUGGUUGUCGUCAGCUCGUGUCGUGAGAUGUUGGGUUAAGUCCCGCAACGAGCGCAACCCUCGUUCUAUGUUGCCAGCGGGUUAUGCCGGGGACUCAUAGGAGACUGCCGGGGUCAACUCGGAGGAAGGUGGGGACGACGUCAAAUCAUCAUGCCCCUUAUGUCUUGGGCUUCACGCAUGCUACAAUGGCCGGUACAAAGGGUUGCGAUACUGUGAGGUGGAGCUAAUCCCAAAAAGCCGGUCUCAGUUCGGAUUGGGGUCUGCAACUCGACCCCAUGAAGUCGGAGUCGCUAGUAAUCGCAGAUCAGCAACGCUGCGGUGAAUACGUUCCCGGGCCUUGUACACACCGCCCGUCAAGUCACGAAAGUUGGUAACACCCGAA